CUGGGGUAUGGGGACGGAUGGUCGACCAGUUGGAAAGUAAUUGUCCCCAAUGUACUUCACCUGGUCCACUAGCCGUCCGUACCCACUGCCG
rnacentral:pre_miRNA from 12 species